rnacentral:rRNA from 1 species
GAUGAACGCUGGCGGCGUGCUUAACACAUGCAAGCCGAACGAAGCAUUUAGAACAGAUUACUUCGGUUUGAAGUUCUUUAUGACUGAGUGGCGGACGGGUGAGUAACGCGUGGGUAACCUGCCUUGUACUGGGGGAUAGCAGCUGGAAACGGCUGGUAAUACCGCAUAAGCGCACAAUGUUGCAUGACAUGGUGUGAAAAACUCCGGUGGUAUAAGAUGGACCCGCGUCUGAUUAGCUAGUUGGUGAGAUAACAGCCCACCAAGGCGACGAUCAGUAGCCGACCUGAGAGGGUGACCGGCCACAUUGGGACUGAGACACGGCCCAGACUCCUACGGGAGGCAGCAGUGGGGAAUAUUGCACAAUGGAGGAAACUCUGAUGCAGCGACGCCGCGUGAGUGAAGAAGUAAUUCGUUAUGUAAAGCUCUAUCAGCAGGGAAGAUAGUGACGGUACCUGACUAAGAAGCUCCGGCUAAAUACGUG